rnacentral:rRNA from 1 species
CGUCAGACGAACGCUGGCGGCGUGCCUAAUACAUGCAAGUCGAGCGGACAGAAGGGAGCUUGCUCCCGGAUGUUAGCGGCGGACGGGUGAGUAACACGUGGGUAACCUGCCUGUAAGACUGGGAUAACUCCGGGAAACCGGAGCUAAUACCGGAUAGUUCCUUGAACCGCAUGGUUCAAGGAUGAAAGACGGUUUCGGCUGUCACUUACAGAUGGACCCGCGGCGCAUUAGCUAGUUGGUGGGGUAAUGGCUCACCAAGGCAACGAUGCGUAGCCGACCUGAGAGGGUGAUCGGCCACACUGGGACUGAGACACGGCCCAGACUCCUACGGGAGGCAGCAGUAGGGAAUCUUCCGCAAUGGACGAAAGUCUGACGGAGCAACGCCGCGUGAGUGAUGAAGGUUUUCGGAUCGUAAAGCUCUGUUGUUAGGGAAGAACAAGUGCGAGAGUAACUGCUCGCACCUUGACGGUACCUAACCAGAAAGCCACGGCUAACUACGUGCCAGCAGCCGCGGUAAUACGUAGGUGGCAAGCGUUGUCCGGAAUUAUUGGGCGUAAAGGGCUCGCAGGCGGUUUCUUAAGUCUGAUGUGAAAGCCCCCGGCUCAACCGGGGAGGGUCAUUGGAAACUGGGAAACUUGAGUGCAGAAGAGGAGAGUGGAAUUCCACGUGUAGCGGUGAAAUGCGUAGAGAUGUGGAGGAACACCAGUGGCGAAGGCGACUCUCUGGUCUGUAACUGACGCUGAGGAGCGAAAGCGUGGGGAGCGAACAGGAUUAGAUACCCUGGUAGUCCACGCCGUAAACGAUGAGUGCUAAGUGUUAGGGGGUUUCCGCCCCUUAGUGCUGCAGCUAACGCAUUAAGCAUUCCG